UACAGAGGGUGCAAGCGUUGUUCGGAAUUAUUGGGCGUAAAGAGCUCGUAGGCGGUUUGUCGCGUCUGCUGUGAAAACCCGAGGCUCAACCUCGGGCCUGCAGUGGGGUACGGGCAGACUAGAGUGCGGUAGGGGAGAUUGGAAUUCCUGGUGUAGCGGUGGAAUGCGCAGAUAUCAGGAGGAACACCAAUGGCGAAGGCAGAUCUCUGGGCCGUAACUGACGCUGAGGAGCGAAAGCAUGGGGAGCGAACAGG
rnacentral:rRNA from 1 species